rnacentral:rRNA from 1 species
AUUGAACGCUGGCGGCAGGCCUAACACAUGCAAGUCGAACGAGUGGCGGACGGGUGAGUAAUGCCUGGGAAUCUAGCUUAUGGAGGGGGAUAACUACGGGAAACUGUAGCUAAUACCGCAUACCAUAGGAUGAGCCCAGGUGGGAUGAGGUAGUUGGUGGGGUAAAGGCUCACCAAGGCGAGGAUCCCUAGCUGGUCUGAGAGGAUGACCAGCCACACUGGAACUGAGACACGGCCCAGACGCCUACGGGAGGCAGCAGUGGGGAAUAUUGCGCAAUGGGGGCAACCCUGACGCAGCCAUGCCGCGUGAAUGAAGAAGGCCUUCGGGUUGUAAAGUACUUUCGGUGGCGAGGCGUUAACUACAGAAGAAGCACCGGCUAACUCCGUGCCAGCAGCCGCGGUAAUUC